rnacentral:rRNA from 1 species
UACGUAGGGUGCAAGCGUUGUCCGGAAUUAUUGGGCGUAAGAGCUCGUAGGCGGUUUGUUGCGUCGGCUGUGAAAUCCCGAAGCUCAACCUCGGGUCUGCAGUCGAUACGAGCAAACUAGAGUGUUGCAGGGGAGACUGGAAUUCCUGGUGUAGCGGUGAAAUGCGCAGAUAUCGGGAAGAACACCCGGUGCGAAGGCGGCACUCUGGGACGGUACUGACGCUGAGAGCGAAAGCGUGGGGAGCCGAACGAGG